UGAUAUCCUCCAGCGCCGAGCAACCUUCGUCCUCUCAGGACUCCCUUGGUAGUCACAGGGAAGAUCCUGGUCCCCGGGAAACACGGCUGCUGCGGAGGGAGAGGCAGAUAAACUACAGAUCCCGGCAUUCUCCGGCAGGCAGCACCUGCGGCAGUCCCUGCACGCCGUGGGGGAGGUGGGGGUGAGGAUGAGGAUGGAGGGCAGGGAGGAGAUGCAGGACGCUGUGGGGCUACGCUGCACCUGGGACAUUCCGCCACCCGCUGGCACCCAGGCCAAGUGGGUGAGGCUCAAUGUCGGGGGCACCGUCUUCCUCACCACCAGGCAGACCCUGUGUCGGGAGCAGAAAUCUUUCCUGUGUCGUUUGUGCCAGGGCGAGGAGCUGCAGUCGGACCGGGAUGAAACUGGUGCAUACCUAAUAGAUCGGGAUCCCACUUACUUUGGACCGAUUCUGAAUUUCCUCCGUCAUGGGAAGCUGGUCCUGGAUAAAGAUAUGGCUGAAGAGGGGAUCCUUGAAGAGGCCGAGUUCUAUAACAUUGGUCCUUUGAUCCGAAUAAUCAAGGAUCGAAUGGAGGAGAAGGACUACACAGUGACACAGGUGCCUCCUAAGCAUGUCUACCGUGUGCUGCAGUGCCAGGAAGAGGAGCUCACUCAGAUGGUUUCCACUAUGUCAGAUGGAUGGCGCUUUGAGCAGCUUGUGAACAUUGGCUCAUCCUAUAAUUAUGGGAAUGAGGAUCAGACAGAAUUCCUGUGUGUGGUCUCCAAGGAAUUGUACAACUCCCCCAAUGGCCUGAGCUCUGAGGCCAGCCACAAAGCCAAGAACACAGAGGAGGACCUGGAGGAGGAAGAGCAGGAGGUGGAGGAGGAGGCAGAGGCAGAAGCAGAAGCAGAGGAGAAAGGUGCAGCAAAUCCCUGAGGAAAAUGAUAAAAAUAACCCCCCAGGCAUAGACUCGUCCACCUUUCUGACUGUCCAUCUAUUCGGGAUUGUGCUAAACUCUCUUCCUGUGGACCCUCCCUCCUGCUCCCUUCCGUGUCCAUCCCAGCACUGUCAUCUACCUCCCACAUUGCCCCACUUGCCAGCCUCCAGCAUCCUUCCCUCUGCUCUCUUUGUCCCUCAGGGCUCAGAGUGGUCUCUGCCCAGGGCCCUGUUUCUCUCUGCUCCUCACUUUUCCUCCUCUGCAGCUGUUACAAGCCAGAGAUCUGAGGAUGUGAUCUGAACACUCUGCUCCAGCCUUUUCAUUUUUUGUUUAUAUCUUUAUUUUUGUACUGCAGUCUAUGGCAGUCCCUUGUCCCACAGUGAUGCCCCUGGCCCCUUUCACUCUUCACAUGCAGCCAUUUUUUUUUACCAAUUCAACUCGGAGGCCUGAGCUUCCAGCCCUGGAGGAGGGCAGAUGCUCCAUAGAGCUCCCGAGCUGCUGUAGGAGUGGGAGCCCACAGCCCCUUCCUAUGCCUGGCAGUUUGGCUUUCCUUAAUGUCACAGUGGCCCCUGGUGGGGACAUCAGCGAUCAGCCACUGCAGCCUACGGUCCCUUCCUGAGCACCCUGGAUGCAAUUGAGGACCGAGGUGGUGGCAGCUGUGGAAGAACCAGCCCUUGCCCUUUCACUGUUGCAGGCAACUGGUGUGGGCUUGUGGCCUGGGGACAAAUGCAGAGCCAUCGUCCUUUCCUGGGUCACCUGUAUUGCUCGGAGGUGUCCCUGUGCUGGGUAUCACGUUCCUUGGUGCCUCCCUCCCUGUCCCCCAAAGCAGCUCUGUGCCAGCAGUGUGAGGAGGAGAAUGAUGUGCUGCCUGGGUACCAGGAACAUGCUGGUACCUGAUGUUGUCAGCCAGCACCAAGCAGAUCCCAGUUUUGGGGAGCGGGGUGUUUGCUUCACUGCUGUGUCUGAAGACUCCUGAAUAAAAUUCACAGUCUGUUCCUC